rnacentral:lncRNA from 1 species
CGUUAUGAUCCUCUUACUUUUCCUAUUUCUUUUUAUAACUGAUGUCGGCUUUCCUGACCUACUCAAUCGAAAGAUGCCCACCGAAGUCACUUUCGGAACCAUACUUCCUACAGGUAAGCCUUUUCUCUCUUCAUUUACAAGUUUUUUUAACCUUAUACAUAAUUUUUCAACCCUUUUAAUAAUUGAUUUUUUUUUUGUUAUUUUACAUCACAGAUGAUGCAUGUAUUACUUUUCUUGAUUGUUUACAUGUGCAUUGUUUGUCAACUCAAACGCAGCUAUGUGUGAUGAACAAAUGUGAAUGCACGGAUUUAACAGUUAAGUAAAAAAAUAAUUCUAUUUUUAAAAUAUCUAUAAUUUUGUUUGCAUGUCAAUAGUAAAUUGUGUUACUCUAAUAAUUUCUCUCACACUUUGAGUUAUAUUACUCUAACCUUUUAAUUAAUUUAUUUGGCAGGGAUAAGCAGAACUGCUCAAGACAAUAUACUUUAGUCAUACAUACUAUAUAAUAGCUAUUUGUUUUACAUGAUUUUACAUAUGCAAACAAAAUAAUAUGUUUUGAAUACACAAUCCUUUUUGUACUAUAUAAUUAUAUGUAUGUUUUUAUAAUAUAUAUAAUAUAUAGCUUGCAAUCUUAUAAACAAAAUUGUUCCUAAUUAAAACUCUUCAUCACUUUCUUCAACACUAUUAUUACUCUUUUUAAGUUUCCCGUCUCUAUAACAAAAAAGGGAGAAAAUUCCUAAAAAGCAUGAAGCAUAUAAGAAAUACUCAAAGACAAAAAAUAAAAGAAACAACAGCCAAAAAUUCCAAACCAGCAAAACAGACGAAACCAUCAAAGCCGAAAACCUCAACCAACCCAACCCCAACCUCCGAACAAGCUAAAAGAAUAGCGAUGUGAUACCAACAUGACAACCAAAAUCAGACACCCAACCAAAGACAACAUUGACCCCUAGAACGAUCUCUUCCACAAAAUUCUACAUGUUCCGGUGUAAGACAGGUUCCACCUCCCACUCAUAGUGAUGUUAGUUGAUUAGUGAUGUUAACUAAUAAUUGAUGAUCAAGAAGGAAUGCGAAUAUGAUGAAAUUGGUUAUGAUGUAACUAAUAAUUUUAUGCAAGAUGAUUGAUUGGUCUGAUUGAUGCAUUAGUAACUUGUUUUAGUGAAUAGUUUAAGAUUGAUGGUUUUUUUUUCAAUCGAUGAUUUUUGUAUUAAGUUACGACUUUUGGUGUUUUGCUAUUUUGUUGCAUGACCCGUUUAAAAAUCAUUAUGUCAUGUAUGUAAGUCAUGCGAAUAAUCAAUUAUAUAUUAUGAUUAUUUUUUUAAGUUUAAGGAACUUAUGAUUGCGAAAUUUCAGUUUUAAGUUUACUUCAA